AGCGCACACGGUGGAUGCCUUGGCGGUCAGAGGCGAUGAAGGACGUGGCAGCCUGCGAAAAGUAUCGGGGAGCUGGCAACAAGCUUUGAUCCGGUAAUGUCCGAAUGGGGAAACCCACCCGCUUGCGGGUAUCCUGCAGUGAAUACAUAGCUGCUGGAAGCGAACCUGGUGAACUGAAAUAUCUAAGUAACCAGAGGAAAAGAAAUCAACCGAGAUUCCGUAAGUAGCGACGAGCGAACGCGGACUAGCCCUUAAGCUGGAUUGGUUCUAGGAAAACGCUCUGGAAAGAGCGGCCAUAGAAGGUGAUAGCCCUGUAUCUGAAAGGGCCAUUCCAGUGAAGACGAGUAGGGCGGGGCACGUGAAACCCUGUCUGAACAUGGGGGGACCAUCCUCCAAGGCUAAAUACUACUGACCGACCGAUAGUGAACCAGUACCGUGAGGGAAAGGCGAAAAGAACCCCGGAGAGGGGAGUGAAAUAGAACCUGAAACCGUGUGCGUACAAGCAGUAGGAGCUCCGCAAGGAGUGACUGCGUACCUUUUGUAUAAUGGGUCAGCGACUUACUGUUCGUGGCAAGCUUAACCGUAUAGGGGAGGCGAAGGGAAACCGAGUCUGAUAAGGGCGCAUAGUCGCGGGCAGUAGACCCGAAACCGGGUGAUCUAGUCAUGCCCAGGGUGAAGGUGCGGUAACACGCACUGGAGGCCCGAACCCACUCCCGUUGCAAAGGUAGGGGAUGAGGUGUGAUUAGGAGUGAAAAGCUAAUCGAACCCGGAGAUAGCUGGUUCUCCUCGAAAGCUAUUUAGGUAGCGCCUCAUAUGUAUCCUCUCGGGGGUAGAGCACUGUUAUGGCUAGGGGGUCAUCGCGACUUACCAAACCAUUGCAAACUCCGAAUACCGAGACGGACUGUAUGGGAGACACACGGCGGGUGCUAACGUCCGUCGUGAAAAGGGAAACAACCCAGACCCACAGCUAAGGUCCCAAAUUCACUGCUAAGUGGAAAACCAUGUGGAAAGGCACAGACAGCCAGGAGGUUGGCUUAGAAGCAGCCACCCUUUAAAGAAAGCGUAAUAGCUCACUGGUCGAGUCGGUCUGCGGGGAAGAUUUAACGGGGCUAAGCAGUGAACCGAAGCUUGGGGUGCAUAACUUUGUUAUGCGCGGUAGAGGAGCGUUCCGUAAGCCGUUGAAGGUGGAUUGAGAAGUCUGCUGGAGGUAUCGGAAGUGCGAAUGCUGACAUGAGUAACGAUAAUGCGGGUGAAAAACCCGCACGCCGAAAGCCCAAGGUUUCCUUGCGCAACGUUAAUCGGCGCAGGGUGAGUCGGCCCCUAAGGCGAGGACGAAAGUCGUAGUCGAUGGGAAGCAGGUUAAUAUUCCUGCACCUCGCGUAAGUGCGAUGGAGGGACGGAGAAGGUUAGGUGUACCAGGCGUUGGUUGUCCUGGGGAAAGGCGGUAGGUUUGGAUCUUUGGCAAAUCCGGGAUCCUUUAAGACCGAGCACCGAGACGAGCCUUUAUGGCGAAGUCACUGAUACCACGCUUCCAGGAAAAGCUCCUAAGCUUCAGCUUACGCAGACCGUACCGUAAACCGACACAGGUGGGUAGGAUGAGAAUUCUCAGGCGCUUGAGAGAACUCGGGUGAAGGAACUAGGCAACAUGGCACCGUAACUUCGGGAGAAGGUGCACCCUUUUUGGUGGCUCGUGCGAGCUAUAGCUGAAGAGGGUCGCAGUAACCAGGCCGCUGCGACUGUUUAUCAAAAACACAGCACUCUGCAAACACGAAAGUGGACGUAUAGGGUGUGACGCCUGCCCGGUGCUGGAAGGUUAAUUGAUGGGGUCAGCCGCAAGGCGAAGCUCUUGAUCGAAGCCCCAGUAAACGGCGGCCGUAACUAUAACGGUCCUAAGGUAGCGAAAUUCCUUGUCGGGUAAGUUCCGACCUGCACGAAUGGCGUAACGACAGCGGCGCUGUCUCCACCCGAGACUCAGUGAAAUUGAAAUCGCUGUGAAGAUGCAGCGUUCCCGUGGCAAGACGGAAAGACCCCGUGAACCUUUACUAUAGCUUUACACUGAACGUUGAGUUCGUCUGUGUAGGAUAGGUGGGAGGCUAUGAAACUGUGGCGCUAGCUGCAGUGGAGCCAUCCUUGAAAUACCACCCUGUCGUGCUUGACGUUCUAACCUGGGCCCAUUAUCUGGGUCGGGGACCGUGUAUGGUGGGUAGUUUGACUGGGGCGGUCUCCUCCUAAAGAGUAACGGAGGAGCUCGAAGGUACGCUCAGCGCGGUCGGACAUCGCGCACUGUGUGCAAAGGCAUAAGCGUGCUUGACUGCAAGAUCGACGGAUCAAGCAGGUAGGAAACUAGGACUUAGUGAUCCGGUGGUUCUGUAUGGAAGGGCCAUCGCUCAACGGAUAAAAGGUACUCCGGGGAUAACAGGCUGAUACCGCCCAAGAGUUCAUAUCGACGGCGGUGUUUGGCACCUCGAUGUCGGCUCAUCACAUCCUGGGGCUGUAGUCGGUCCCAAGGGUAUGGCUGUUCGCCAUUUAAAGUGGUACGCGAGCUGGGUUCAGAACGUCGUGAGACAGUUCGGUCCCUAUCUGCCAUGGGCGUUGGAGAUUUGAGAGGGGCUGCUCCUAGUACGAGAGGACCGGAGUGGACGAACCUCUGGUGUUCCGGUUGUCACGCCAGUGGCAUUGCCGGGUAGCUAUGUUCGGAAGCGAUAACCGCUGAAAGCAUCUAAGCGGGAAGCGCGCCUCAAGAUGAGAUCUCCCGGGGCACAAGCCCCCUGAAGGAACCAUGUAGACUACGUGGUUGAUAGGUCAGGUGUGUAAGUACAGCAAUGUAUUGAGCUAACUGAUACUAAUGAUCCGUGCGGCUUGACC
rnacentral:rRNA from 1 species